CGCGUAGGCGGUUUGGUUAGUUAGAUGUGAAAUGCCUGGGCUUAACCUGGGGACUGCAUUUAAUACAGCCAGACUAGAGUGAGGAAGAGGGUUGUGGAAUUCCCAGUGUAGAGGUGAAAUUCAUAGAUAUUGGGAAGAACACCGGUGGCGAAGGCGGCAACCUGGUCCUUGACUGACGCUGAGGCGCGAAAGCGUGGGGAGCAAACAGGAUUAGAUACCCUGGUAGUCCACGCUGUAAACGAUGUGUGCUGGAUGUUGGGUAACUUAGUUACUCAGUGUCGUAGCUAACGCGAUAAGCACACCGCCUGGGGAGUACGGCCGCAAGGUUGAA
rnacentral:rRNA from 1 species